rnacentral:lncRNA from 1 species
GUCGGGGCUUACGAAUGGGGGAGGAUGGGAGCCGGAGCUGAGAAGUAUGGAACACAUUUUCAGCAACCACGAAAUUUGAUCAGAGAUAAAUUCCAAUUAUUAAAAUCGAAUUUGCACAGCAAGUCAGAGAAUGCACACAACCAAGAACGCACUCACUCACACUCUGGCAGACAGACUUUUGUAGUUGCAUGCAACAUGCAAUGGGCGUGGCAUGGUGGGUGGCUAUUUGGAGGGCAUUGCAACAUUUUAUCAAAUUCUAAUUAUGCAAAAUAGAAGGGAAAAAAGCAAUUAAGCCGAAUGUCCCAAAACUGUAGCAAGUCCCCUGUAAAAUGCACAAAUUAUCAGAUCUCUGACGGGAAUAAAAUGGCUGGGAGAAGUAGUUCCCCUCUCUUAGUUCCUUUUCCAAUUACUGCUGGCUGUUUGUGAUAGGAAAUCUUUCUGUGGUUCAGAGGUACCGUUGGAUCAAUACAAUUUCAAUACAAAAGUGUGCUGAGAAAUGUAACUAAAUUGCUCUCGAAUUUAUUCCACAUUGGGUUCAUUUCCUCAAUAAAUGUGCUGUUAAAUGGCCCUGUUUCUGCUUCAACAAAUUGUCAAAACCUACAAAUCAACAAUAACUAAAUCUAUGCUGUGGUUUUUUUCUAGCUGGGCGUUCCCAUGCACUUAUGUAAGUGGGGUUGGGUGGG